rnacentral:rRNA from 1 species
AUUUUGUCGGCAGGGUCACACCCGUUCCCAUCCCGAACACGGAAGUUAAGCCUGCUGGAGCCGAUGGUACUGCGCGGGUAACUGUGUGGGAGAGUAGGAAGUCGCCGGGAUUAUUAUA